rnacentral:rRNA from 1 species
GACGGAGGGUGCUAGCGUUGUUCGGAAUGACUGGGCGUAAAGGGCGCGUAGGCGGCCGCUUGCGUCGGAUGUGAAAGCCCGGGGCUCAACCCCGGAACGGCAUCCGAUACGGGGCGGCUCGAGACCGAGAGAGGUGAGUGGAAUACCCAGUGUAGAGGUGAAAUUCGUAGAUAUUGGGUGGAACACCGGUGGCGAAAGCGGCUCACUGGCCGUACGUCUGACGCUGAGGCGCGAAAGCGUGGGGAGCAAACAGG